AGACAGAAAGCAAGCCGCCCGGUCCAGGUCAAACCACGAUCAGCCAUGUGGGAGUCCAGCGCCAACCAGCACACCACCCGUCAGCCCCUUAACCAAACUAAUCAGUGAUAAAUAGACCCAAGUAUAAAGUUCCAUUUCCUUCAUCAUGCUUUUCUGGACAAAUGGGAGAAGACACUAAAGUCCAGGGGACGGAUACAUGGCAGUGUUCUUGCCAAUGGAAGCAUGAAGCCACCACAGAGCCUUAGGGAAAUCCUGUUCUCUCCAGCCAUCUAGAAAAGUUUUAGACACUAUGGAGCCAUCUUAGGAGAAGCAGUCAUGUUUGGAAAGGCAAAAACCACUCAAAAAAAAAAAAAAAAAAAA